rnacentral:rRNA from 1 species
GACGAACGCUGGCUGCGUGCUUAACACAUGCAAGUCGAACGGAAAGGCCCUGCUUUUGUGGGGUGCUCGAGUGGCGAACGGGUGCGUAACACGUUAGUAACCUGCCCUUGACUUUGGGAUAACUUCAGGAAACUGGGGCUAAUACCGGAUAGGCGCUCCUGCUGCAUGGUGGGGGUUGGAAAGUUUCGGCGGUUGGGGAUGGACUCGCGGCUUAUCAGCUUGUUGGUGGGGUAGUGGCUUACCAAGGCUUUGACGGGUAGCCGGCCUGAGAGGGUGACCGGCCACAUUGGGACUGAGAUACGGCCCAGACUCCUACGGGAGGCAGCAGUGGGGAAUAUUGCACAAUGGGCGGAAGCCUGAUGCAGCAACGCCGCGUGCGGGAUGACGGCCUUCGGGUUGUAAACCGCUUUCGCCUGUGACGAAGCGUGAGUGACGGUAAUGGGUAAAGAAGCACCGGCUAACUACGUG